AACGAACGCUGGCGGCGUGCCUAAUACAUGCAAGUCGAGCGAAUGGAUUAAGAGCUUGCUCUUAUGAAGUUAGCGGCGGACGGGUGAGUAACACGUGGGUAACCUGCCCAUAAGACUGGGAUAACUCCGGGAAACCGGGGCUAAUACCGGAUAACAUUUUGAACCGCAUGGUUCGAAAUUGAAAGGCGGCUUCGGCUGUCACUUAUGGAUGGACCCGCGUCGCGUUAGCUAGUUGGUGAGGUAACGGCUCACCAAGGCAACGAUGCGUAGCCGACCGGAGAGGGUGAUAGGCCACGCUGGGGGUGAGACACGGCCCCGACUCCUACGGGAGGCAGCAGUAGGGAAUCUUCGGCAAUGGACGAAAGUCUGACGGAGCAACGCCGCGAGAGUGAUGAAGGCUUUCGGGUCGUAAAACUCUGUUGUUAGGGAAGAACAAGUGCUAGUUGAAUAAGCUGGCACCUUGACGGUACCUAACCAGAAAGCCACGGCUAACUACGUGCCAGCAGCCGCCGCAG
rnacentral:rRNA from 1 species